GACGAACGCUGGCGGCGUGCUUAACACAUGCAAGUCGAGCGGAAAGGCCACUUCGGUGGUACUCUAUCGGCGAACGGGUGAGUAACACGUGAGUAAUCUGCCCCUCACUUUGGGAUAGCCACCGGAUACGGUGAUUAAUACUGGAUAUGACUAUUUUUCGCAUGCCGUGUGGUGGAAAGUUUUUCGGUGAGGGAUGUGCUCGCGGCCUUUCAUCCUGAUUGUGAGGUAAUGGCUCUCAAUGGCUUCGCCGGGUAGCCGGCCUGGGAGGGUAGCCGGUCACACUAGGACUGAGAGAGGGCCCAGACUCGUACGGGAGGCAGCAGUGGGGAAUAUUAGACAAUGGGCGGGAGACUGAUCCAGCAGCGCCGCGUGAGGGAUGACGGCAUUCGGGUUGUAAACCUCUUUCAGUACCGACGAAGCGAAAGUGACGGUAGGUACAGAAGAAGCACCGGCCAACUACGUG
rnacentral:rRNA from 1 species